rnacentral:rRNA from 1 species
AUUGAACGCUGGCGGCAGGCCUCACACAUGCAAGUCGAGCGAGCGGCGGACGGGUGAGUAAUGUAUGGGAAACUGCCUGAUGGAGGGGGAUAACUCCUUGAAACGGUAGCUAAUACCGCAUACCAUCAGAUGUGCCCAGAUGGGAUUGGCUAGUAUGUUGGGUAACGGCUCACCUUGGCGACGAUCCCUAGCUGGUCUGAGAGGAUGACCAGCCACACUUGAACUGAGACACGGUCCAGACUCCUACGCGAGGCAGCAGUGGGGAAUAUUGCACAAUGGGCGCAAGCCUGAUGCAGCCAUGCCGCGUGUGUGAAGAAGGCCUUCGGGUUGUAAAGCACUUUCAGCGGGGAGGCGUUACCCGCAGAAGAAGCACCGGCUAACUCCGUGCCAGCCGCCGCGGUAAUAC